CGAGAUCGCUCGGCUGAACCAGGAAAUGAUAUGCCGUGCCUGCCAACGCUAUCAGGCUAAGAAAGUGGGGGCGGAUCGGUUGAAACCAGAGUUUGGCAUGGAUAACCUGCCAUCGAGCAGGUUAGUUUCAAGGAGUAAGUUACCAUGGAAUCUUACCAAAAGGUUUCGUUACCUCUCUUUCUGGAACGCGGAACUCGGAGUAUGCCUCUUUUCAGGGUAAAAAAACUCAAAGUUUUCAUUAAACCCGCUACUUGGAAUACCCCCCAGAGUAUGCAAUGAAAGAUCUCCGGAUUGACCGAGCAGUGGGUCUCUAAAAAGCUGGUAAGCAGUUUCUCUUACAGCUGGCGACGUAAAAAGGAGCUAACAAAGGCACAAGGAGAACUGAAACUUCCAGAGCAUACACUGAAGACCGAGUGUCCCACAAGGUGGGGAUCAAGGCAGGCAACGAGUCCUGGAGUAGCAGAGGGCGAUUUCUCAGGUCUUGUCCGAUGACAGAAAAGCCCGACACCUCAUCCCCACUUGGCAGUACACAGAGGUCCUCGAGGCCAUUAACAAAUCCCUCAGCCCUCUAUCGGAAUUUGUGAAGCCAGUCCUCCACCUUUUCAGAUCCUCCAUCUUGAAAGUGAAUGAUGAUGAGAAACUAACCUGCACCAUCAAGACAAGAAUCCUGAGCUAUCUGGAUGAAAAAUACAAUGACCCCCUGACACAAGAACUGCUUGAUAUGGCGUCUGCGCUUGAUCCACGCUUCAAGCUGAGCUACGUCAGUGAAGACAAUGUUGUACCAAUUCAUGCAAAACUGACUUCUGAAAUGGCGAGGACUCCACCUGCCGCCAUGGCUGAGAUGGGCCCAACUGAUCCCCAUGGUGAGACUGCUGAGGAUGCACCCACUACAAAAAAGAAAAAGACCUUGGGGAGUUUCUUCAAGACUGCUGAGGGAGCCACUCAAAGAAUCAGUCCUCUCCAAGAACAACAAAUUAUAUCUUCUGAGCUACAGUCGUACCUACAAUCAGGUUUACUCGGCACGGCUUUUUUCCUUGGAGCUCGACGCUAC